UGGGGAAUAUUGCACAAUGGGCGCAAGCCUGAUGCAGCCAUGCCGCUUGUAUGAAGAAGGCCUUCGGGUUGUAAAGUACUUUCAGUCGGGAGGAAGGUGUCAAGGUUAAUAACCUUGGCAAUUGACGUUACCGACAGAAGAAGCACCGGCUAACUCCGUGCCAGCAGCCGCGGUAAUACGGAGGGUGCAAGCGUUAAUCGGAAUUACUGGGCGUAAAGCGCACGCAGGGGGUUUGUUAAGUCAGAAGUGAAAUCCCCGGGCUCAACCUGGGAACUGCAUCUGAUACUGGAAAGCUUGAGUCUCGUAGAGGGGGGUAGAAUUCCAGGUGUAGCGGUGAAAUGCGUAGAGAUCUGGAGGAAUAACGGUGGCGAAGGCGGCCCCCUGGACGAAGAAUGACGAUCAGGUGCGAAAGCGUGGGGAGCAAACAGG
rnacentral:rRNA from 1 species